rnacentral:tRNA from 1 species
UGCCGAGUAGAGAAGCAGGUCAUCUCGCCAUCCUCAUAAGUUGGAGAUCGCUGGUUCGAAUCCAGCCUUGGCACCCA